rnacentral:lncRNA from 1 species
UUGUAGAUGUGUGGGAGUGCUAUCGAUGUUGAUUGUUUUCGACUGAUCACAGUGGUUCAGUUGCAUCAGAAACAUGCAACCACUCUAUUAGCAAAGAGUUGCUUCAAUGUAAAGAUGGGAUUGGACCCAAUAAUUAUUGGGUGAGGGACCCAAUGAUGACUUUGCACUUAUUUGUGAAUGAUGGGUCUGACUUAACUAAAGAAUGUAGACAAUAACUAUUAGGUGAGCCCACAUGACUUAAAGAUCAAGUAGCUGCAACAUACUUAGAGAAGCAUCUGAGCAAAAAGUUGCCCACGCAUCGAUGUUCAUAUUAUCAAUAACUAUUAGGUAAGGUGCAUGGCAUUGGUGGGACUGCAGCACCCACUAAAAAUCUAGUUGUCAUGUUAGAAUUUUUGUUUCUCCAUUCGGAG